rnacentral:rRNA from 1 species
AUUGAACGCUGGCGGCAGGCCUAACACAUGCAAGUCGAACGAGUGGCGGACGGGUGAGUAAUGUCUGGGAAACUGCCUGCUGGAGGGGGAUAACUACUGGAAACGGUAGCUAAUACCGCAUACCAUCGGAUGUGCCCAGAUGGGAUGAGCUAGUAGGUGGGGUAAAGGCUCACCUAGGCGACGAUCCCUAGCUGGUCUGAGAGGAUGACGGGCAACACUGGAACUGAGACACGGUCCGGAAUCCUACGUGAGGCAGCAGUGGGAAAUAUUGCACAAUGGGCGAAAGCCUGAUGCAGCCAUGCCGCGUGUAUGAAGAAGGACUUCGGGUUGUAAAGUACUUUCAGCGGGGAGGCGUUACCCGCAGAAGAAGCACCGGCUAACUCCGUGCCAGCAGCCGCGGUAAUUC